AGUGAGGUUAGAUAUUUUAUAUAAAUAAUUAAAAUAAAUAUUUUGUUAGUAAUAUAAAGAAUACAAUUAUAUGGUUAUAGUAAAUAAGUAUUGUAAAAGAAAGAAAAAUAAUUUUUAUUAAUGAAAAGAAAAAUAACUUUGUACCUUUUGUAUCAGGGAUUUUCAAUUUAAUUUAGAUAUGUUUGAACAUCUCGAAAUAAUAAGAGCUAUUUUUAUUUAAAUAUUUAUGUGGUAUAUUAAAAUUUAAAUUAGAACUAGAAAUGAUAUUUUAUUCGUGUAUUAUAUAUCUAGUUUUUUUUAAAGGGAAUUUAAUUCUGUAAUUAAAUUUUGAUUGGUUUAGUUAAAAAAGGUAGAAGGGAUAAGCUUUUUAUUUAGUUUGUCAUAAAAUAAAGGUAUUGAAUAUAUUAAAUUAGGCUUAAAAUUAGCUAUAUUAAUAGGGCGUUUUAGUUAAAAUAUGAAGUAUUAAUAAUUUUUAUGGGUUUAUGAUUGUUAGAAGAAAAUUUUUUGAAUAGUAUAAUAAAAUAUAUAAUGAAUUUAUUAGUAUAAUUUAUGUGUAUAAGAAUUAAAUUUAAUAUUUAUAAAAUUUUUAAUUAUAAUUGGUUUAGGAUAGGAACUCGGCAAUAAUACUUUUGCCUGUUUAUCAAAAACAUGUCUAUAUGAAUAAUUUGUGUAGUCUAACCUGCCCACUGAAGUUUAAAGGGCUGCGGUAAUAUGACCGUGCGAAGGUAGCAUAAUCAAUAGUCUUUUAAUUGAAGGCUGGAAUGAAUGGUUGGACAAGAAGUGAACUGUCUUUUUUGAAGUAAUUGAAUUUUACUUUUAAGUGAAAAGGCUUAAAUGGAUUAAGGGGACGAUAAGACCCUAUAAAACUUUACAUGUAUGUAUAUAUUUAUUUGAAAAUAAAGGUAUAAAGAAAGUAUAAAAAAAUUUGUUUUAUUGGGGCGAUAGUUAUAAAAAUGAUAAUUGUAAUUUUAAUAAAAUAUAUAUAAAUAGUGUAGUUGAUCCUUUAAUAAGGAUUAUAAGAUUAAGUUACUUUAGGGAUAACAGCGUAAUUCUUUCUGAGAGUUCUUAUCGAUGAAGGUAGUUGCGACCUCGAUGUUGAAUUAAGGUUUUACUAAGGUGUAGAAGUUUUAGUGAUAGGUCUGUUCGACCUUUAAAAUCUUACAUGAUUUGAGUUCAAACCGGUGUGAGCCAGGUUGGUUUCUAUCCUUUAGUUAAGAAAAUUUCUUUUAGUACGAAAGGACCAAGGAAAUAAAAAAGUUUUAAAGAGAGAUGAAAUUUAAUUGGA
rnacentral:rRNA from 1 species